UACGAAGGGGGCUAGCGUUGCUCGGAAUCACUGGGCGUAAAGCGCACGUAGGCGGCUUUUUAAGUCAGGGGUGAAAUCCUGGAGCUCAACUCCAGAACUGCCUUUGAUACUGAGAAGCUUGAGUCCGGGAGAGGUGAGUGGAACUGCGAGUGUAGAGGUGAAAUUCGUAGAUAUUAGGAAGAACACCAGUGGCGAAGGCGGCUCACUGGUCCGGUACUGACGCUGAGGUGCGAAGGCGUGGGGAGCAAACAGG
rnacentral:rRNA from 1 species